GAGGAAUAUUGGUCAAUGGGCGAGAGCCUGAACCAGCCAAGUAGCGUGCAGGAUGACGGCCCUAUGGGUUGUAAACUGCUUUUGUAUGGGGAUAAAGUCAAUCACGUGUGAUUGUUUGCAGGUACCAUACGAAUAAGGACCGGCUAAUUCCGUGCCAGCAGCCGCGGUAAUACGGAAGGUCCGGGCGUUAUCCGGAUUUAUUGGGUUUAAAGGGAGCGUAGGCCGUGGAUUAAGCGUGUUGUGAAAUGUAGACGCUCAACGUCUGAAUUGCAGCGCGAACUGGUUCACUUGAGUAUGCACAACGUAGGCGGAAUUCGUCGUGUAGCGGUGAAAUGCUUAGAUAUGACGAAGAACUCCGAUUGCGAAGGCAGCUUACGGGAGCACAACUGACGCUGAAGCUCGAAGGUGCGGGUAUCAAACAGGAUUAGAUACCCUGGUAGUCCGCACAGUAAACGAUGGAUGCCCGUUGUUAGUUCACUUAAGAAUUAGCGACCAAGCGAAAGCAUUAAGCAUCCCACCUGGGGAGUACGCCGGCAACGGUG
rnacentral:rRNA from 1 species